UACGUAGGGUGCGAGCGUUGCCCGGAAUUAUUGGGCGUAAAGAGCUCGUAGGCGGUCUGUCGCGUCGAAUGUGAAAACCCGGGGCUCAACUCCGGGCUUGCAUUCGAUACGGGCAGGCUAGAGUUCGGUAGGGGAGUCUGGAAUUCCUGGUGUAGCGGUGAAAUGCGCAGAUAUCAGGAGGAACACCGGUGGCGAAGGCGGGACUCUGGGCCGAUACUGACGCUGAGGAGCGAAAGCGUGGGGAGCGAACAGG
rnacentral:rRNA from 1 species